rnacentral:rRNA from 1 species
AUUGAACGCUGGCGGCAGGCCUAACACAUGCAAGUCGAACGAGUGGCGGACGGGAGAGUAAUGUCUGGGACACCGCCAGAUGGAGGGGGAUAACUACUGGACACUGUAGCUAAUACCGCAUACCAUCAGAUGUGCCCAGGUGGGAUUCGCUUGUUGGUGGGGUAACGGCUCACCAAGGCGACGAUCCCUAGCUGGUCUGAGAGGAGGACCAGCCACACUGGAACUGAGACACGGUCCAGACUCCUACGGGAGGCAGCAGUGGGGAAUAUUGCACAAUGGGCGCAAGCCUGAUGCAGCCAUGCCGCGUGUAUGAAGAAGGCCUUAGGGUUGUAAAGUACUUUCAGCGGGGAGGCGUUACCCGCAGAAGAAGCACCGGCUAACUCCGUGCCAGCAGCCGCGGUAAUAC